UCGUCCGGCCACCUUUGGCCACGAAAUUCAUUCCAAUAUUUUUGUCUUCAAACGAGCUUUCUAUAUUAUAUGUGUCUUGCACCCUAUUACUGACCUUAUGCGACAAAUCGAAAAAAAGAAGAGGAAGAUGAAUUUUGGAUUUGAGCAAUUUUGGCCCUAAAUUCUUCCGAGGUGAAUUCUGGCUUCCACAAUUAAAAUUGGACUUUGUUGUAGCUGAGAAAGCUGUUGAGGAUAAUGAGAGGAACAUGUUGAUGUAAUUUGGUGACCCAAUUUGGGCUUGGAGUCUGCGGUGCAUGGGGCAUGUCCAGUGGUGUGCUGGGUGGAGCUUAGUGCUACGAGCGUGUAGAUAUGAAUUUUGUAUCGAUUGGUACACGUUUUGAGAAUGAUUGGAAUUUUUGAAACUUCGGGGAUUCGAUUUGGGAAGAUCCGACCAUUGGAUCGACCGAUCGACCCCAUUUUCCGAUAAGUUGUUAUAAUUACCGAAUCAAUGUAACCUAUGAUGUUUGAACUCAUUCUGACAUAAAUUUGAGUUUUCGAUGAAUUAUCAUUUUUA